AUCACUUCUCAGCCUUUGGCUUAGAUCAAGUGUAGUAUCUGUUCCUAUCACUUUAAUAUCUGAUACAUCCUCUAUCCAUGGACAUAUUAAAUAGAUUUUUGGAGAACGGAGAUGGAAAAGGAGCUUGUUCUGUCCACUCCACACAUCAACCAGGUUAUUAUAGUACUUUCAGGAAUGGUGGCCCCCUC
rnacentral:snRNA from 3 species